GAUCAUGGCUCAGGGUGAACGCUAGCUACAGGCUUAACACAUGCAAGUCGAGGGGCAGCAUGAACUUAGCUUGCUAAGUUUGAUGGCGACCGGCGCACGGGUGAGUAACACGUAUCCAACCUUCCGUUUACUCAGGGAUAGCCUUUCGAAAGAAAGAUUAAUACCUGAUAGUAUGGUUAGAUUGCAUGAUAACACCAUUAAAGAUUUAUUGGUAAACGAUGGGGAUGCGUUCCAUUAGGUAGUAGGG
rnacentral:rRNA from 1 species